GGAAUGCCUCCUCCAAAAUGCAACAAGAGGAAAAAGCAGACUUUCAAAAUUGAGCAUGGAGGAACUCUACACAGUGCAGCCAAAGGAGUUCUGGUGGUUGUAGUUGGAAGGGGAACAAAAAUGUUUACCAGUAUGCUGUCAGGGAUCAAGAGGCACAUUGUCACUGGAGAACUGGGAAAAGCUACUGAUACACUAGAUUCUACAGGGAAAGCAACAGAAGAAAAACCUUAUGAUACCGUAACACGAGACGACAUUGAAGGCAUUGUACCGAAAUUUACUGGGAAUGUAAUGCAACUACCCCCUCUCUAUUCUGCAUUAAAGAAGGAUGGACAGAGACUUUCAACUUUGAUGAAGAGAGGUGAAGCAGUAGAAACAAAACCUGCUAGGCCGGAUACUGUAUACAGUAUUUCCCUUCAAAAGUUCCAGCCACCAUUUUUCACAUUAAACGUUGAAUGUGGAGAAGGUUUUUAUAUCAUAAGCUUGGUCAGUGACAUUGACAAAGAACUCUCUUCUCCCAGAAAAGAUGGGACUUAAAAACCCCAAACCUUAGGAGUCAAGAAGAGAAAGAAGAAUCUAAAGAACAGGCUUUCAGCUGUGAAUAUAUAUCAUUAGAUGAAGUGAAGGGAGAGGAUGAUGUAAUUCAGACAUGUUAA